UACGUAGGGGGCAAGCGUUAUCCGGAUUCACUGGGUUUAAAGGGUGCGUAGGUGGGCAAGUAAGUCAGUGGUGAAAUCUCCGGGCUUAACCCGGAAACUGCCAUUGAUACUAUUUGUCUUGAAUACUGUGGAGGUCAGCGGAAUAUGUCAUGUAGCGGUGAAAUGCUUAGAUAUGACAUAGAACACCAAUUGCGAAGGCAGCUGGCUACACAAAUAUUGACACUGAGGCACGAAAGCGUGGGGAUCAAACAGG
rnacentral:rRNA from 1 species